rnacentral:lncRNA from 1 species
NNNNNNNNNNNNNNNNNNNNNNNNNNNNNCGUUUCUAAAUCAAAUGGUAAUACAUGAAGAAUUUUUGCUUUAAUGGAAGGCAGCUUGUGUGACAGUGCGAUCUUAAAAGUGUGCAGAUCCCAGUCUCAGUCAAUCAAUGUGGGCUGAUUGCUGUGGAUUGUAAUGGACAGUCACAUCAUAGCAAUCUUGCAGAUAACGUUUGCUGCUGUUUAUUGUCAGCUUUAGCUUCUGCUAUUUUAUUUAAAUAAUAUUAUCUUAUUUCUCCCUAUCUUUUUUUCUCCCCUUUUCCUUUCUUCAUUUCUCCCUAUCUUUAACUUAACCUGUCUUCUCCCUUUUCCACUUCCAUUUUUUUUGUUAUUUUCUUGAUAAUGUAGAAAUAUUAUGACAUUUAUAUUGUGUUCUUUUAACUUAAUCUCCCACAUUAAAAAAAUCUUAGUUCUAGAGUUAAAUAUAUUCAGUGCUUGCAGCUGGUCCUUUUGCUCUGAUUUAUUUGCCUAGUAUUUGCUGGUUGGCUAAGCUUUGACUGUUUUUCUUUCUUUUAUAGACAUCUUAGUCAAAUUUGUAAUCUUUUCCUUAAUGGAAUGGGGUGUUCAAAGGCCAGUGUUUAUGGAAACUGACUAGGUAACAUAUAUAGUGAAAUUAGCCUGAAUUUGGGGGGUAGAGUUGGACUCUGGUCGGGUAGAGUACAGGCACUUCUUCUAAAGGGACAGCUGCAUCAGUGGAUUGUUGUCAUAUGGAAAAAUGGGCCCAAAAUUCUUAGGUCUGCUCAUAGUUCAGUAGAAGCUGGAAUGGCUAUGUGAUGUCUCUGAAGUGGUGGCAGCUAAUAGUUUUUUGGGCACCUAACUCAAAGCUUUAAAAACACAGCCAAACAAAACAUAUCUGUGAGCUGUUACUUUUCACCUUGUUUACAGAUUCUACAUUUGGUGCAAGUUUGUAUUUAAUCCUAAGGUUUUUAAAAUUUAUUCAACU